GGGAUGAGGAAACUAUGGCACGUCAAGGAUCAGGUGUUACAAAAUGAGAACAUGGGCGUAGGUAAGGGUCUAGGUCCGGCUUUAGGUUGGAGGGUGGACUUGGGCUUUGAGUUGGAGGAGGAAGGUAAACAGUGGAGGGGGAAGACAGGGUGGAGGAGAAGGAAACAGGGGAGGCGGCAAGGGUGGCUAGGGAUGGGGAUGGGUGUGGGAGGAGGGGUUAAGAAUAGGCAUGGGGGUAUGAGGUGAGGAAAUUGGGCAUGCUACAGAGGUGGGGGAUGAGGAAACUAUAGCAUGUCAAGGAUCAGGUGUUACAAAAUGAGAACAUGGGCCUAGGUAAGGGUCAAUGUCCGGCUUUAGGUUGGGGGGUGGACUUGGGCUUUGAGUUGGGCUUCAGAGUCAAUCUUUGAGCUGGGAUUCCAACUCGGACUUGGGUUUCAGGCUGGCCUCGAGUUGUGCCAAGCUUUGCCUUGAAACCAGCCUUGAUACUCUUUUAGACUUUGGAUGCCAUGAUUAGCCCCAAACCCAUAGCCUUUUAGGCCAAGCCCAAAGCACAUCUCGAAUCCAACCUAGCGCAGCCCAUUUUUAGCCCUACGUCAUAUUCUUAUAGUUGGCUUAUGAUAAUAUCAAAUCAAAGCAGAUCCCAGAAAAAUCUUCCCCAAACUAUUC
rnacentral:lncRNA from 1 species